rnacentral:lncRNA from 1 species
CCCUAUGUUCUAUUUUAAGUAACGGCGGCCAUGUUUUUUGACGGAUCAAAAAUCGAAGCGCACAUUUUGUGCAGGAUAUACUAAGGAACAAUCAUGUUAAGUUUCAUUCAAAUCCAUUCAGUAGUUUCAGAGGAGAAGAUGUUUGAAAAAUUGUUAACGACGACAGACGACGACGACGACGACGACGGACGCCAAGUGAUGAGAAAAGCUCACAUGGCCUUUUAGGCCAGGUGAGCUAAAAAUAAGA